rnacentral:rRNA from 1 species
CAGUCGCCGCGGUAAUACGAAGGGGGCUAGCGUUGCUCGGAAUGACUGGGCGUAAAGGGCGCGUAGGCGGAUGGCACAGUCAGAUGUGAAAUUCCCGGGCUUAACCUGGGGGCUGCAUUUGAUACGUGUUGUCUAGAGUGAGGAAGAGGGUCGUGGAAUUCCCAGUGUAGAGGUGAAAUUCGUAGAUAUUGGGAAGAACACCGGUGGCGAAGGCGGCGACCUGGUCCUUUACUGACGCUGAGGCGCGAAAGCGUGGGGAGCAAACAGGAUUAGAUACCCGGGUAGUCCCUGUCUCUUAUAC